CAUUAACCAUCCCACUACAGCAGAACACCCCUGCAUGUAGCAGCUGCAUCUGGGAACGUGGACAUAGUGAAAUUUCUCCUGCCUCAGAAUGCUGACACGGAUAUCCAACAUCUCUUUGAAUACACCUCACUCCAGGAUGCUACUAAGUUCAAGCAUGAUAAAUCAACCGCCGAGCACUCUCCCAUCAACUCCGGUACUCCACUGGAGAGGCACAGGCGGCAUCAACGGGGGAGCGUCAGCAUCAACUCAUCGCAAUGAAGACACCGUGACAGACAAAAAUGGGGAGCGAGAAGAAGACAAAGCCAUACGCCCCCUCCCCCCCACCUGAAAGUCAGAGGAGUUGCCCCUUAUGACAACACCCACGGGGAUCAGCCUUGGAAUUUUCAAAACUCCGGUCCUCCAGUCAGCCAGCGUUAGUCUCCCUAAUUCUAAGCAUCACAGUUUCCACAUCCAAAGGGAAUUAAGAUACUUCAAUAAUCCCUGCAUAUGAUGGAUGCCUGUUGCCUACUAGCAGAGCAGAAAUACUUUAUCAGCACCUGAACCGGUAGAAAAGCUUCAGAAGUACAUGGAGAAUAGCAAGGACAUUAUUUGCUAUGCAACAAAAGGGGCAGUUGCUCCCCCACCCCGAAUUUUCAUACGUCUAUAUGCUCUAUUAUUCCUUCCACUCUAUGUGCCCCCACCCCACGACA